rnacentral:lncRNA from 1 species
CUAAAAAAGCUAUCAAGUGGUUGCUCUAACAGAAAAGAUGACAUUUUAUGUAUUUUAAGACAACUUGCUUGGUCAAAGUCAAGUGACGAGGAAGAAAAUGCUCAAAGAAUAUUGGAACAGUCUGAAUUCUGGAGUCAAGAAAGCUUUACUAAGUUUAAACAAUAUAUAGAAAAGUAUUGGCUCCCAAUUAAAAAAAGGUGGGUUAAGUGGUACAGGCAAGAUCGUCUUCUUAUUAAUUGCAAUACAAACAAUGGUGUGGAAAGGCAGAAUGAGUCUUUCAAAUAUACUUAUUUAUAGCGACAUAAAAACUCAUCAUUGACUGGAAUGUUAACUUUGCUUAUUGACGACUUCUUCAUUGAUAAACUUGACAAGUAUCAUUUUUUUAAAGUUUCGUUACGUCUGUAGCAAUUUUUAAAAGUAAUACACACCUAAAUAAAAACAACAAACACUUCCACUGGUUUAUUUUCCAGUAGAAAAGUCUUUAUCAGUUAAAAAAAACAAGUUCAGAAAACCUAGCUAUACUGAUUCCAACUUUAAAAUGGAUGCACGUAACAGAAGGUAUGCACGUUGGGUGCCAAGUUAUCUUUACAACCGUUCUCAUAGCUUUGUUAAACAUUGCCUAAUAAAAAAAAGUAACGCUGAGAAUCUUGAUUUAUCCGGAGUAAUCAUGAUUAAACAUGGAGUUUUUGCUGUAUUAAGUUCUACCAAGACAGCUUCUAAAUAUUUUGUAUUAUUUGGUGAUGAGAUUACAAUGCCAAAAAGUACUUGUUUAAAUUGGAUAUCAAACGCAUAUCCAUGCAAACAUUUUUUUUUAGUAUUUAGAAAGUACCCUGGUCAUGGAGUGCUUUGUCAUUAUUAUAUCUAAAUUCACCAUUCUUAAACUUUGAUGCUGAUGAUUAUGAAGCAUCACACGAAAAACCACCGUUUAGUAGGCCGGAAAGUUCAAUUCUACCUAAAAAAGAAUGAGAUGUCAUUAAAGAUUGGAAUGAAAAAUCUAAAAAAAUUACAAGUGUUUGCUCUAGAGUAAAUGUUAGGGAAAUGCUUACAACAAUUCAAAACCUAACUUAUGAAUUUGAGGAAAAUUCAGAAGAAAUUGUACUUGUAUAUAGCACUCUUGCUUCUCUCAUUAAAAAACUUGAAAAAACUAGAACUAAAGAAUCAGGAAAUCCGCUUUCUCCAUUGGACAUCAAAUGCCUUGUCAUUUAAAAAAGAAUAUUCCAAUUCCUGUUCGUAAACCAAUGAAGCUUCCUACUGAUUGCGUUGGUAAUCACAAAGAUAUGGUUAUUGCAUCUUCUAAAAUAUUUCUAGAGGAAAAAAAUACAAAACCGAGCCAAAUGUGGUCAACAUUGUUGAACAUAUUGAUGGGAAUAGUAUAAUUAUUGAGGAGUCAGUUACUAUUAAUGAAAAUGAUAGAUUCGCGAUAAAAAGACUAAACCAUUAUCACCAAACUGUAAUCUCACUUCCAAUGAUUUGAACGAUAUUUUAACAAACCAAAUGUUGCCUGACAUGGUAAUCCACACCAUGCAAAAGAUGAUCACAGGUGUAGGCGGUCUCCAAGACCCGGUUCUUGGACCAAAUCUAUCAUUCCGUGUACAAAAAGCAUCUUUUGUUCAGGUGUUGCAUGAUGGCGAUGCCCAUUGGUUGGCUAUAAGUACUUUUGGAUGUUCUGUUGGUGAGGUUUUUCUUUUAGACAGUUUUUUUGUGGAAAAGUAAAAAACCAUGUUGUUAGGCAAAUUUGUGCUAUUAUGCAUUGCACUGAAAAUACAUUAACUGUCGUUAAUGUAUUUUCAGUGCAAUGCGUUGUACCGGUGCAACAACAAACAAAUUAUGUUGAUUGUGGUUUGUAUGCCUUUAUAAAACAUAUUACAGAUACUGGAAAAAUCCAAGUUAUGUUGCUUUUGACGCUUUUUAAAUUGAGAAAUCAUUUGCUAAAAUGUGUGAAAGGCAAUCAGUUUACUUAGUUUCGAAACAGCUAUGCGAUUCUGCAAAGAAAAAGAAUUCUACUUUUCCUUGUACUGCAUUUGUAGACAAGUCUGGUUAGCUUCGGAUAGUUGUUUUAAAGAUAUGCAAAUAUAACUCAUUGCAUUGUAUUCUGUGUACUAAUUUCUUUUUGUCUAACUGGGGCUUAUAUUUAGACAUAUAGUGCAAUACGGAAUAUGUGAAAAUUGGUAUCAUCGCGCUUGUAAACUUAUCCCUGAUUAUUUUUUAAGAAGACAAAUGUGCAGAAUGGUCAUGUUCAAAAUGCAGCUCUAUGUUAUAAAACGUUUUUAUUAUUUUAGUUAUUAUUUAGUUUCGUAAAAAUCCUAAUUUAAAAAAUUAUUUUUUAAUAAUACAAACAAAUCAUUAUACUGACUCCAUAUUUGUAGAUGUAUUUAAUUUAUCCUUUUUUUUGUCCGCGUUGAAACGAAAGUUGAAUAUAAUUCAACAACAACAGUUUAAUACUUUAUUAAUUUUUUCUUCGAGAAGAAAGCUUAAAUAAGCUUUGUUAAAAUAUAACCAAAUGCAUAACACUUUGACCUUCGCUUUUCAGAAAUAUAAAAUAAG